rnacentral:rRNA from 1 species
UACGUAGGGCGCAAGCGUUGUCCGGAAUUAUUGGGCGUAAAGAGCUCGUAGGCGGCCUGUCACGUCGGUUGUGAAAGCCCGGGGCUUAACCCCGGGUCUGCAGUCGAUACGGGCAGGCUAGAGUCCGGAAGAGGAGUGUGGAAUUCCUGGUGUAGCGGUGAAAUGCGCAGAUAUCAGGAAGAACACCUAUGGCGAAGGCAGCACUCUGGGACGGUACUGACGCUGAGACGCGAAAGCGUGGGGAGCGAACAGG